AAAUUGUUCCUUUGUUUGCGAUGGGGAGAGGAAGUAGCAUUAAUAAGGCCUUACAGGGCAUGCGACAUUAAAGGAACACCGAUAUAGAACUGGAGUGCAUGAGAAUGGGUUAUGUAUGGAAUGUAGUGGAAAGGAAACAGUGGAGCAUCUGAGGGAUUGCAAUAUUUCCAAUAUUUUUUUUGAAAUGGUACAGGUGAUAGAAAAAUAGAAAAAGGUAUUAUUGGGUGUAUUGCAAAAUAUAUUAGGAAGACUCAAGAAUAUUUAACAUACAGAGAUUUUAAAAGGUUAAGUGUUCACAGCAGUUUUAAUAGCCAAAUCUGAACAGUAGGUGGUGACAAUAAGUUUUGCUAGAAACUUGGUGACCAUUAACAGAACAGAAGAAGAAACAGGAGAGAAGAAGGGACGGUAGGUGUGGGACUUGGUAUUCGGUGUGCCGCUAUAGAGGGGAGGGCUCGGAAGACGCAUUUUGUCGGUGUCCUGCGGUGUUAAAGCCAGUUAUUUCAGGGGUUUUUGAGUCCAGUAUCACUACAUUUAAUUACACUCAAUCCAGAGAGUACUGUCUGUCGCAGAAUGCAGCUUUAGCAACCUUAGAGCAGGUGACCAGUGCUCGGAACAUCAGCUUCCAGACCUGCAGAUGUAUACGUGGUCUAUCCUCCAUUUGGGAACAGUACCAUGACAUACAGUGAAGCUAUGCAACGGUGUUUAUCCCUUGGUGAUAGCUUGGCAUCAAAGAAACAACUGAGUAGUACAUCCACACCCAUCCCUGA